rnacentral:tRNA from 1 species
GGGGGUAUAGUUCAGUGGUAGAACACUUGCCUAGCGUGCAAGAGGCAUGAGGUUCCAUCUCCAUCAUUUCCU